AUAGAAACAACAACUUUAGUCGCCAUCUCCAUAUCUGGUUUACUUGUAAUCUUUACUGGAUAUGCCUUAUAUAUCGCAUUUGGGCAACCCUCUCAACAAUUAAGAGAUCCAUUUGAAGAACACUGAGACUAA
rnacentral:rRNA from 1 species